GGCUAUUAGAGCAGGGUUUGCUACACGUGUACAUGGUAAGAGGACAAGGAGUUUCGUGAUUUUUUUUCUUUUCUUUUUGUUGAAAAAGGACUUCCUGGAAUUUUCUUCUUGGCCGUAUCUUUUUUUGGCUGUUUCCAUUCUCAUUGUUUUUUUGAGAAUGACUUCUAUUAUUUGUUAAUUGCACCACAAACCAAUGAAAAAAAAAUUGAAAUUACACACAAAGUGUAUACUUUUAAGUUUUAAUUGAAGUGUGUUGUGAGUUCCAAUUCCUAGAGUGGUCCUGGAUCCCUCGCUAAGCGAAUUUUGUGGCCGAUUGAGUUGCAUCGCAAUGUAAAAGAAGGAUGUGUCCAGAAGUUUGGGUGACCAAACCAUCAUUUGCUCUUGUCCAUAUCCUAUCUAUUGACGGUCUACCUUGCUCUCACUAGGUUCCCUUGGGUUUUCAUGUUCAGGAAGGUGACUAAAGCUUCGCUUCAAGUAUUGUUUAAACUUCCCCUGACCAUGGGGUGGACUGUCAUCUUCUUUUCCUUUGCCUUGUCUUUUUCUUGGCCUCAGCUUCGUGCUGCUUUGGUUCACGUAUCUGCUUUGGAGCUUUGCCUCCCUUUUCAAUGAAUCAUUUAUUGACCAAAAAAAUAAAUUGUGUGUUGUGACAAUGCUUUUAAUUUAGGGUUUUAUCACAAAUAGUUUUGAAAAUUAAAAAUCGAUCAAUGUAAUCUUUAAAAUUAGGUGUUGCAAAUCAAUGUGAUUAUUUUGUUAAAAAUUAGGUAACCAAUAAUAUAAUACAAAAGACCAUGUUUGGGCCAUACACAAAAAUUAGACCUACUAAGACCAACUCCAAUGGUUGGGGUUAAAUCCUAAAUUUUUAAUCCAGAAACAAUUUUUGUGCUACAAUGGUUAUGGGUUAAAGUUUUAGACCAAGAUUAUUAAAUAAUGAAUUUGGGCUUAAAAAAAAAUUCGGUAACAUUUUUUAGAAACUUUAUGCAGUUUAUCACAAUUUACUUUUAUGAACAUUUUAACUUAAAAAUAUUUACAUUCCAAUAAAAGUUGAAAAUUCACUAAAUUGACCUCAUGAAAUAUUAUUUAUAGAGUUUUAAGAAGAAUUUUGAUUUAAAUAAAAUUUUAAUUAUUUUAGCUGUUGGAUUUAAUUUUGGGCUAAUAGAUCGUUUUUAUUUAACGGUUAGAUUUGAUCAAAUUCGAUCUUAGCAUUUGGAUUUAAUGUAUUUAAAAUUUUAAAAUUAAAAACUAAGGUGGGUGAACCUUUUAACCUUGACCUGAAUUUUGGGCUAAGUUUGCCCAAAUUUUAGGUUUUAACCCAAAAUUUAUUCUAGUCCCAACCAUUAGACCAUCUCCAACCUUGGGCUAAAUGCCAAAUUUCCCCCUAUUCCCCCCCCCCAAAACCCAAUCCAACCCAAGCCAAAUGCCAAUUGAGGGCCAAAUUCCCCCCAAGAAAUAGCCCAGAAACGUGUGGACUCUCUCUUUCCCAGCCCACUCUCGGCCCGGUCACU
rnacentral:lncRNA from 1 species